rnacentral:rRNA from 1 species
AUUGAACGCUGGCGGCAUGCUUUACACAUGCAAGUCGAACGGUAACAGGCCUUCGGGUGCUGACGAGUGGCGAACGGGUGAGUAAUGCAUCGGAACGUGCCCAGAGGUGGGGGAUAACGCAGCGAAAGCUGUGCUAAUACCGCAUGUGAUCUGAGGAUGAAAGCGGGGGACCAGGCAGCAAUGUUUGGCCUCGCGCCUUUGGAGCGGCCGAUGUCAGAUUAGGUAGUUGGUGGGGUAAAGGCCUACCAAGCCGACGAUCUGUAGCUGGUCUGAGAGGACGACCAGCCACACGAGGACUGAGACACGGCCCAGACUCCUACGGGAGGCAGCAGUGGGGAAUUUUGGACAAUGGUCGCAAGCCUGAUCCAGCAAUGCCGCGUGCGGGAAGGAGGCCUUCGGGUUGUAAACCGCUUUUGUACGGAACGAAAAGGCUCUGGCUAAUACCUGGGGCUGAUGACGGUACCGUAAGAAUAAGCACCGGCUAACUACGUG